CAAGAUAAAUAAUUCAAUCAAGAGCGGUUUCUUCAAAUGUAUAUUAACUUUUUAACGUUUCACGGACUCAAGAAAACUUUUGCUGAGAGGCGGAAGAUAGUGUUUGGUGACAAAAGUAAGAAAACAGGAAUUGAUUAAAGUCAAGACGAAAACGCAGAAUGCUUGAUUUGGUAUUCCGCCCGUGGUAAAGUAAACAGUCUCCACGUCGGUUUUAAACAAGUUAGUAGCAGUUGAUGUAAGAUGGUCCAGUUCAGAAACAAGGAUUCAAACUCAUCACCUUUUCAUUGUGGCCUCAUCCAAUUCCACAUGACUCUGCAGUGCUGAGAAAUCUAGUUAAAAAGGCAAGGCUCCAUAAACAGGGUAUGUAAGUAGUAGGGGUUUGUCACGCGAAUUCUGAACUUUCAGAAUUUGAUGCAGAAUCUUCACAACCAUAGUUUAAUUUUGUUUUCUCCGUAAUGUGACUAAUUUCUUCUUCAGUAAUCUCUGUAUUGCUUAUAAUAAUUAUCUGGAGUUUGCUCGAUAGGUUUAUCAUUAUUGGUGUAUAUAUAAAUUGUUGUCAUAUUCAUGUCUAUAUCUUUUAACACAGGAUAAUUGAAACAUCCAUGAUGUUAUUAAACACCUCUUGUUAUACUAUUGUAAAUCAGCAAUAAUUAUAUUGUUUUUAUUGGGAAAUACGUGAUAUCUUCCAACAAUAAGUCAGGAAUUAUAUUGUUUUCUAUAAGAAAUACAUGAUAUCUUCCAACAAUAAGUCAGGAAUUAUAUUGUUUUCUAUAAGAAAUACACCAUAUCUUCUAACAAUAAGUCAGGAAUUAUAUUGUUUUCUAUAAGAAAUACAUGAUAUCUUCCAACAAUAACAGGAGUUAUAUUAUUUUCUAUUAGGAAAUACACAAGUCUUC
rnacentral:lncRNA from 1 species